UCCGUUGGUGAACCAGCGGAGGGAUCAUUACUGAGUUUACGCUCUAUAACCCUUUGUGAACAUACCUAUAACUGUUGCUUCGGCGGGUAGGGUCUCCGCGACCCUCCCGGCCUCCCGCCUCCGGGCGGGUCGGCGCCCGCCGGAGGAUAACCAAACUCUGAUUUAACGACGUUUCUUCUGAGUGGUACAAGCAAAUAAUCAAAACUUUUAACAACGGAUCUCUUGGUUCUGGCAUCGAUGAAGAACGCAGCGAAAUGCGAUAAGUAAUGUGAAUUGCAGAAUUCAGUGAAUCAUCGAAUCUUUGAACGCACAUUGCGCCCGCCAGCAUUCUGGCGGGCAUGCCUGUUCGAGCGUCAUUUCAACCCUCAAGCUCUGCUUGGUGUUGGGGCCCUACAGCUGAUGUAGGCCCUUAAAGGUAGUGGCGGACCCUCCCGGAGCCUCCUUUGCGUAGUAACUUUACGUCUCGCACUGGGAUCCGGAGGGACUCUUGCCGUAAAACCCCCCAAUUUUCCAAAGGUUGACCUCGGAUCAGGUAGGAAUACCCGCUGAACUUA
rnacentral:rRNA from 1 species